UGCAAUUUCUUUUUGGAAUGGAGCAAUGGAGUUGAAACGAGCAAGAUCAGUUAUGGUUGAUCAAAACACAAACAGACAGAAGCCAAAAUGGAUCACAGAUUUUGUUCUCAUGCCACAGUACAACAAAUUCAUUUUAGGAACCGGGGAUCGAGAAAUCCAAUUUUAUGAGUUGUCUACAUUUGAGCCAUACUGUCAGAUAUCUGGUUUAGAAACAACACCGCUCAAAUUGGCAUAUUGGUUAG